CAGUCGCCGCGGGAAUACAGAGGGUGCAAGCGUUAAUCGGAAUUACUGGGCGUAAAGCGCGCGUAGGUGGUUCGCCAAGUUGGAUGUGAAAUCCCCGGGCUCAACCUGGGAACUGCAUCCAAAACUGGCGAGCUAGAGUAUGGUAGAGGGUGGUGGAAUUUCCUGUGUAGCGGUGAAAUGCGUAGAUAUAGGAAGGAACAUCAGUGGCGAAGGCGACCACCUGGACUGAUACUGACACUGAGGUGCGAAAGCGUGGGGAGCAAACAGGAUUAGAGACCCCCGUAGUCCCUGUCUCUUAUAC
rnacentral:rRNA from 1 species